rnacentral:rRNA from 1 species
GACGAACGCUGGCGGCGUGCUUAACACAUGCAAGUCGAACGGAAAGGCCCUGCUUUUGUGGGGUGCUCGAGUGGCGAACGGGUGAGUAACACGUGAGUAACCUGCCCUUGACUUUGGGAUAACUUCAGGAAACUGGGGCUAAUACCGGAUAGGAGCUCCUGCUGCAUGGUGGGGGUUGGAAAGUUUCGGCGGUUGGGGAUGGACUCGCGGCUUAUCAGCUUGUUGGUGGGGUAGUGGCUUACCAAGGCUUUGACGGGUAGCCGGCCUGAGAGGGUGACCGGCCACAUUGGGACUGAGAUACGGCGCAGACUCCUACGGGGGGCAGCGGUGGGGAAUAUUGCACAAUGGGCGGAAGCCUGAUGCAGCAACGCCGCGUGCGGGAUGACGGCCUUCGGGUUGUAAACCGCUUUCGCCUGUGACGAAGCGUGAGUGACGGUAAUGGGUAAAGAAGCACCGGCUAACUACGUG